CAAACACAUAUUUCAGUCACAGUAAGGUGGGACGACCACAUAUUUCAGUCACAGUAAGGUGGGACAUCCACAUAUUUCAGUCACAGUAAGAUGGGACAACCACAUAUUUCAGUCACAGUAAGGUGGGACGACCACAUAUUUCAGUCACAGUAAGGUGGGACAUCCACAUAUUUCAGUCACAGUAAGGUGGGACAUACACAUAUUUCAGUCACAGUAAGGUGGGACAUCCACAUAUUUCAGUCACAGUAAGGUGGCACGACCACAUACUGUAUUUCAGUCACAGUAAGGUGAGACAACCACAUAUUUCAGUCACAGUAAGGUGAGACAACCACAUAAUGUAUCUCAGUCACAUUAAGGUGAGACAACCACAUACUGUAUUUCAGUCACAGUAAGGUCGGACGACCACAUACUGUAUCUCAGUCACAGUAAGGUGAGAUUAAUACCUAUCUCAGUCACAGUAAGGUGGGACAUCCACAUAUUCCAGUCAUAGUAAGGUGGGACGACCACAUACUGUAU
rnacentral:lncRNA from 1 species